rnacentral:lncRNA from 1 species
UUUCCGCCACCCUGCGGGCCGGGGAGUUGGGAGGCGUGGCGGGUGGGGUGAGGGGUCCGAGUCCCAUGGUCUAGGACGUUCAUUUCUCCGAGGCUCGGUCUCUCCUCUGGUGGGACCAUGUCUCGAAGAGGCCCUGGCUUGGCUCCUGGAGCUGGUGGCGGCCAGGUAGGAGCCCCCAGGAAAGCUCCAUCGGCUGCUGCUGAGCCGAGCCCUCCCGAACCCGGCCUGCGCUGCCCCCCGCGCGCCUGGACCACACACCCAAGUGAUGUGAUGUUAAGAGGGAAUGAAACGCUGACAGGGAGCGGUGGUGGCUCACGUCUGUGAUCCCACCACUUUGGGAGGCCGAGAGCACCAGGAAGAUCAAGGAGCCAGGGCCACCCUCACGUUUCCUUGGCAACAGCAUCCGUGAUCAGACUCUAAGGCAACUGGGACCCAUGCGUGCUCCCAGGGGGAGGCUGCAGGUUCACGUCGGUGUCCAGAUAUCUUACAGAAUGUCCAUAAUCUUCAUGUGCUCCUUCUGAGAUCAGUGAUAAAGAAGACAUGGAUACAGCAAGAAGG